UACGGAGGGUGCGAGCGUUGUCCGGAAUCACUGGGCGUAAAGGGCGCGUAGGUGGCGACUCAAGUCAACGGUGAAAGCUCGACGCUCAACGUCGAGUCGGCCGUCGAAACUGGGACGCUUGAGCACUGUAGAGGCAGAUGGAAUUCCCGGUGUAGUGGUGGAAUGCGUAGAUAUCGGGAGGAACACCAGUGGCGAAGGCGGUUGCCUGGAGCUUUGCUGACGCUGAGGCGCGAAAGCGUGGGGAGCGAUCCGG
rnacentral:rRNA from 1 species